UACGGAAGGCAGCAGUGGGGAAUAUUGCACAAUGGGCGCAAGCCUGAUGCAGCCAUGCCGCGUGUAUGAAGAAGGCCUUCGGGUUGUAAAGUACUUUCAGUCGUGAGGAAGGUGUUAAGGUUAAUAACCUUAGCAAUUGACGUUAGCGACAGAAGAAGCACCGGCUAACUCCGUGCCAGCAGCCGCGGUAAUACGGAGGGUGCGAGCGUUAAUCGGAAUUACUGGGCGUAAAGGGCACGCAGGCGGUUAAUUAAGUUGGAUGUGAAAUCCCCGGGCUUAACCUGGGAAUGGCAUUCAAGACUGGUUAGCUAGAGUCUUGUAGAGGGGGUAGAAUUCCAUGUGUAGCGGUGAAAUGCGUAGAGAUGUGGAGGAAUACCGGUGCGAAGGCGGCCCCUGGACAAAGGACUGACGCUCAUGUGCGAAAGCGUGGGGAGCGAAACAGGGAUUAGAUACC
rnacentral:rRNA from 1 species